rnacentral:snRNA from 12 species
AGCUUUGCACAGUGGCAGUAUCGUAGCCAAUGAGGUUUAUCCGAGGCGCGAUUGUUGCUAAUCUAAUUCUAUUAGUUGUAGGGUUAGUUUAUUAAAGACUUUUCUUGUUUCUUGAGGUAGGCCUAUAAUGCUAUAAACUUCCCUCUCAGGACUGCUUUCCUAUGUCCCAUAGAUUCAGGUUGUUGUGUAUUAAUUUUUGUUUGUUUCCAGGAA